UACGCGGGGGCAGGUGCGGCUACAAACUACGGCACAGUUCGUAGGCUGCUUGGGGGGCUACCUAUUCUCGUGGGGCUGCGGAGACCUGUUUGGGAGCGGGGCAAGGGAGGAGAGGGAGCGAGCAGGAGAAGACACGUUGCGCGCGUCGGCAACGGUGCCGGAACGGCAGGCGCACCGGUUGCAGCAGGGGCGCGGUUUAAUCGAACAAGGGGGCCGAGGGGGAAGCAGCAGAUGUAGUGGACGCUCCUGGUCGAGCUCGGGGGAGCGCGACGUAGCGGACCUAGUUCAGUAGAAGAUGGAGGCCAGCGGUGAGUAGCGGCGAAGCUAAACAGCGGAGGUUCGGAAGGGGCUCGAACGAAACGUGGAGAUGUCCAAGCGCGGUCUACGACCUCAGGUCCUCGAUCUCUAGGGCUCCUACUAAGAUACACCUCAAGCCGAAGCUCCUCAUCAAUCCUCCAGGGUCCGUCCUCCGGAACGGAAAAGCUAGCAACGAUGAAAACACGAUCGGAAGAAUUCCGUUUGAACAAAUUGGAUACCGACAUGAGUCUAUAACAACGAAGGCGACUGAGCAGAUACUAGCUCGUGAACAUAAGCUCGGGAGCUCCGGGAACCGAACAUAAUACUACGAACAUACUGAAUAAAUACAACAUCUCAACACAACACUAUAGAAG
rnacentral:rRNA from 1 species